rnacentral:misc_RNA from 1 species
CUGUGCUGGCCAACUUUUGCAUUGUAUGCUCGUGCUGCUUUGCAAAGAUGUCUUGAGCAUAUUUAUAAAGCUCCAAGUCAAGAUUGUUAAGUGAUCUUAUCUGCUCAAGAACCACCUCAGGAACAAGGCGACGGUCCUCCUUCGAAAAGUUUGCUGGAGCUAUUCUCUUCAAAGAAGAGGUACGACGACGUGCCUGGGUCUUCCGUAAAUUAGAAAUGCAGUCUUCAUAGGCUGCCAUAAGUUUCUUUACAGUCAUAUUUUCUUUCUUCCCUUCCAGAUUUCCUGUAGAAGCAAUUUCACUUGCCUUUUGGUCUGAGGUGCUAACCUGAUGAUCAUCAUUUUCAUGCUCAGAAUCUGAAAUUGAAGAGCUCUGCUCUGCUUUAUUAUCGGCUGCAGUUUUUCCACACUAGUGUUUGAUGCCAAUGCCUGGGAAAUCACCUGUGCACCAACCACAUUCGCAAACAUUGUUGCAGAUUCUCUGUGGUCCUCAGUGAGGCCAACAUAUAACAUCUCAUCCAACCUCUUCUUAGCAACUUGCAGUACAUGUUCACCAAGAAUCUUAUACUUCUGGACACAAUGGCGCACUUCAUGUGCUUCCACAUAAUAAGAGUUGUUGGUCAAUCCUGCAACCUGGAAUGUUGCUCCAUUGUGAACCAUGUCAUGUGCUAUGGGGUCCAUGAUAUAUUCAUGUAAUGGAAUAACAAUUUCCUCCAUGUUGUAUGGAUCUUUGCUCCUCACAUGAUUGGAACCCCUAAAUUUCCUAGCAUCCCUCCUGUUAAAUAGGUCUUCCCUCAUCCAUGGAACCAAAUACUUCCAGGGCCAUAUAUCCAGUGUACUAACCCCACCAUUCCUAGGGCGCAACCGACCAGCCAUUUGUGUGGCAGAAGUUAAGUUAGGAUGCACCAAGAAUCUAGCCGCCACUUCAACAGAAAAUUCGUAAGUACUGAACACACGGUCAACUGGAUUCCUGAGUAUGGUCACCACUGAAGUUUUCUUCUUUGGAAAUUUGGACAUCAUGCUAUAGUCAUCAUGAGUAACCAACAAUCUGCACUUCUGUUUGCUUGGAUCAAAUCGCAGCUUAUCAUAUGAGCGGGGACAUUCCUCAGAGUUAGAGUACAACUUUCUCAGGAAACAGUGAAAAUAUGUACGCCCUCCAGUUCUUGGGACAUGGAGGAAAAACAACAAAUCUCGUAGCGUGUGUUUGCCCUCUGUAGCUUCUUCUUUAAGAGAAGCUAAGGCCCACUUUUUGACAAUUUUUUCGCAAUGGCUAAAAUCAUUUUUGAUGGGAGAUGCACUUGCCAAUGCAAGAAACAUCAAAAGCACAGUGAACCUCAUUGCAGGAUCCAUCCACAUAAUUCCUACAACUGUAUCGGGUUUAGGGAUCUCGUGCCCAUAAAUUCGUUCAAGUCAGUGUUGGAACUCUACCAGACAGACCUCGCAAUCAGUUAGGGCCCACACCAAACAGAAUCACAAUUUUCCAGAUAUGGUUACUCCGGAUUUUCUCGCCGGCCCAAUACAAAAAAAAGCAGUAAGGCAGUAGCUUUUACAUUUUCGCAGGAAAGUAGAAAAUUUUCUCUUGCUGAAUCUGUGUUUGUAACACUCUCUUUGGAUAAAUUAUUAGAGAGGGAAGAAAU